rnacentral:snRNA from 1 species
AGAUGUGAGGAUGAUCUGACUGUGACAUCACUCACCACACUGGUGGCCAGGGUUUAUUCNGCUGAUCUGGCUGACUAGCUAGGUGUCCCCUUCCUCCCUCACAGCUUCAUGUGUGCCCCUCCCGCAGCUACAUGCUCAGUGGAAGAGCAGGACCAUCAGUGAUAGAAGGAACAUACUGUUCUUCAGUCAAAGGUAUAUGAUAGCUGUGCUUCCCCUGCUCAGGGUCUUAGUUUCUGUAAUCCUAUGCCCCCUUGGAAAGAAUAUUCAACUAUAUUCUCUUUACAUCCUGAAAAAGUACAGUACACAACCUACUUAUACA